rnacentral:rRNA from 1 species
GAUGAACGCUAGCGAUAGGCUUAACACAUGCAAGUCGAGGGGCAGCACAAGGUAGCUUGCUAUCUGGGUGGCGACCGGCGCACGGGUGCGUAACGCGUAUGCAACUUGCCCUAUACAGGAGGAUAACCCGUCGAAAGACGGACUAAUACUGCGUAUGCUCACAACUUGGCAUCAAGUGGUGAGGAAAGAAAUUCGGUAUAGGAUAGGCAUGCGUCCCAUUAGCUUGUUGGUGAGGUAACGGCUCACCAAGGCAACGAUGGGUAGGGGAACUGAGAGGUUUAUCCCCCACACUGGUACUGAGACACGGACCAGACUCCUACGGGAGGCAGCAGUGAGGAAUAUUGGUCAAUGGGCGCGAGCCUGAACCAGCCAAGUCGCGUGAAGGAUGACUGUCUUAUGGAUUGUAAACUUCUUUUAUACGGGAAUAACAAGAGUCACGUGUGACUCCCUGCAUGUACCGUAUGAAUAAGCGUCGGCUAACUCCGUGC